UACGUAGGGUGCAAGCGUUGUCCGGAAUUAUUGGGCGUAAAGAGCUCGUAGGCGGUCUGUCGCGUCUGCUGUGAAAACCUGGGGCUUAACCCCGGGCCUGCAGUGGGUACGGGCAGACUAGAGUGUGGUAGGGGAGACUGGAAUUCCUGGUGUAGCGGUGAAAUGCGCAGAUAUCAGGAGGAACACCGGUGGCGAAGGCGGGUCUCUGGGCCAUAACUGACGCUGGAGGCGACGAAAGCGUGGGGAGCAAACAGG
rnacentral:rRNA from 1 species